rnacentral:tRNA from 1 species
GGGCUGGGCUCAGUGGUGGAGCAUCUGGUUGGCACGCAGAAGGUCCCAGGUUCGAUUCCUGGCACCUCCA